rnacentral:tRNA from 1 species
GGGGACAUAGCUCAGUGGUAGAGCUCUUGCCUCAAAUGCAUGAGGCCCUGGAUUCAGUCCCCA